GCGAAAGUGGCGGAACUGGCAGACGCGCCAGACUUAGGAUCUGGUGGGGUAACACCCUUGGGGGUUCGAGUCCCUCCUUUCGCA
rnacentral:tRNA from 2 species